AGCCUUGAGGGUGACUGAGCCAGAGGAUCCAGGAAAUUUGCCCCCAGAUUCCUGACCCAUAGAAGCCAAGAGACAGACAGUAAAUGCUGCAGUUCUAAAGCACGACAUUUUGGAAUAAUUCCUCACAUGGCAAUAACAACUAAUACAGCACCCUAACUAGAUUUCCCACACCCAGAUCUGCUGUCCCUCAUACUGUAGCCAAAGGGAUUCGAAUAACAUGUAAAUCUGAUUAUUGCUGAAACUCCUUCCAUGGCUCCUCAUUGCCUUCAGGAUAUACCCCAAAGUUUUCAACAUUUGCUCAAAGAUCUUUUUUGACUGCCCUGCAGGCUCAUUUCCCUCCAUUUCUCUUCUUGGUUUCGUUCUCCAUCAGUCUUCUGCAGUUUCUCCUGGCCUCAUGGUCGUUUUCAUCUCUAGGCCAUCACACUUGCUCUUUCUCCUGCUGGAAGCUUCCUUUCAUUUUUCUCUUUACCUGGCUACCUUGGAGCCAUCCUUUAUGUUUUAGCCUAAUCCAAGGAAGCCUUUCUUUCCUGACCCGCCCUACAGACAAGGUGAAGAGCUGCUUUCUCACUUCCACAGCACCCUGUGAUUUCUCUAUUGCAAUGCUGUUCACUCGUGGUUGUGAAGAUUUCUUUACUUGCCUCUUACUCUUGCUCAACUUGCAGGUUUGUGACAUCAGGAACGAUGUCAGCUUUGCCCCUUGCUUUCCCUGAGCACCUCACAGAGGCCUGGAACAUAGUGGGAACUCACUGUGCGUCUGCUGAAGGAAGAAAAGGAAAGCUGCCUCUGUCCAUGUGGUGACCUCUGCAAGCUCCAGGUCACAGAAUAAGGAAUGUUUCUCUACACUAAAGCCCUGGCAUUGAGCCCAGCUGGCUUGUAUUGGGUCAUGUAUGUAUUUCUGGACUUUCUGGACAUAUAAGGAGAGGAGACCCCACCACGUGGGUGAGAAGGGGAGAUGUGGAUCCCAAAAAGAAAAUCAAAGUGCCCUAAUCAGGCUGAAUGACCAAAACCAGUGGAUGUCCUCCUCAGCAGCACGUGUUGCACUGGAGGCUGUACUCCGGCCACCAUUCCCAAUGGUGGGACAUGGCAGUGAGGAAGGCAGAGAGUGACCUGUGGAGUGCAGUGGCUACUUUAGAUGCAGUGAGUAGAGUUUUCAGAGGAGGUGAUGUCUCAGCCAGUACCCGGGUGAAGAGGACACCGCCUAUCAGAGGGGCUGAGGAAGGGGAGCUGCACAUAGAGGACAAGCCAGGCAGCCCUGAACUAAGGCUGCGCACUGCCUCCUGGGAAAAGGUUAAAAAAUGACCUGAGAAAGUCCUGAGUUGAAAAUGUGGAGCUUGUCUGUGCCUCCCAGGACAAAGAGGGGAAUGCAGAUGAUUCUCCUCCAAGCGCCUCCACCAGAAUUUCACUCUUGGAAAAAACGUUUUCAAGUAUUGGUUAUUUUCUUUCUUGGCCACUUGAAGGCACUGUUGCCCUUAUAAUUUUGCU